UCCCUGGUGGUCCAGUGGUUAGGACUCUGUGGUUCCACUCCAAGGGACACAGGUUUGAUCCCUGGUCAGGGAA
rnacentral:tRNA from 1 species